GCUUCGUGGGCUUUUACGUAGGGGCCAGUGGUUCGGGUCCUUGUGCUGGCACCGGGGGCGCCGGGUUGGCGACUUUGGCACUCUUGGCGUUGGGUGAGCGGCAUCUUGCGGGUCACAUGAGCCAGUGGCAUCGUGCCCGUGGGUGCUGGGGUCAGGGUCGCGGCUUUUCCGGACGUUCAUCGGCCAAGAGGAAGGGCGGAAAGCACAUCCCGGAAAGGUGGAAAGACUAUCUCCCAGUUGGACAGCGGAUGCCUGGGACUCGUUUCAUUGCUUUCAGAGUUCCUUUAAAAAAGAGUUUUGAAAAGAAUCUUGCUCCAGAAGAAUGUUUUCCCCCCUUGGAUCUUUUUUAACAAACUCCAAGAACAGAAUGAAGAACUUGGGCUGAUCGUUGACUUAACAUAUACUCGCCACUAUUAUAAGCCAGAGGUAAAUGGAACCCGUAAUUGAAAAUGACCUUCUUUCUGAUGCUGUAAUACUUCAUAGUAA